rnacentral:tRNA from 1 species
UCUUCCGUAGUAUAGUGGUCAGUAUGCAAGCUUGUCAACACGCUUGAGACCCGGGUUCAAUUCCCGGCGGGAGAG